rnacentral:lncRNA from 1 species
AACAAAACUAAGAUGGACAUUUCACACAACGCAGAGCUACGAGAACAUCUCUUAUGCUCCUUGCCAUGGGAUUUUAAUGCCCCAAGGUUCAUAACUACAGCAAAGAAAGUAAGUCAAAAAUAAACUGAGCUUAAAGAAGGUGGCAGGCCAAUUUUCCCAAAAAGACUGUGGACUGUGGGCUGCUGUGUAGCCUUUGCUACAAGGCUGAGGAAGCAGAAGAAAGAUGAAUUGGGCAAUUGGUGAUGAAAAGUAUUUGCCAUUUUCAAAGGCUUCUCAGUGUGGCCAUAGAUUUUGCUAGUCAAUUUUUAAAAAAUUAUAUUUUUAGCUCAACACACAGCUCUAAAGCAGGGUUCAGUGUAGUGUGUUCUCUACCGAAAUGGUUAUAUACAGAUGGUAUGGAAAUGGUUUUAAAGAUUACUCAUAAACUAUCCUUUUAAAGAAAAACUAGACUCGGUCAUAUUUGUUAAAAUGAGCAAUGUCACCAAACAGAAAUGUAGGUGGGAAAUACUGAACCACAAACAUUUGGAGUUGCAGGCAUAGACUAGCAGAGCAUGAAUAGUCAUCACUGUUUCUAUAAUACUGAAACACUCAAAUCUGUUUCUG